rnacentral:pre_miRNA from 1 species
UAGGUACUCCCUCCGUUCGGAAUUACUUGUCUCGGAAAUGGAUGUAUCUAGAACUAAAAUACGUCUAGGUACAUCCAUUUUUGCAACAAGUAAUUCCGAACGGAGGGAGUAGUUG